CCCUUAGAUGUCCUGGGCCGCACGCGUGCUACACUGACGCCUACAGCGAGUACUUCCCAGCCCCGAGAGGUGGCUGGUAAUCAGCAAUAGGCGUCGUGAUGGGGAUAGAUCUUUGGAAUUAUGGAUCUUGAACGAGGAAUGCCUAGUAAGCGCAGGUCAUUAGCCUGCGCUGAUUAAGUCCCUGCCCUUUGUACACACCGCCCGUCGCUCCUGCCGAUUUCGAGUGGUCCGGUGAAUCUUUCGGACUGCGCGCGGCCUCGUGCCGUGUCGCGGAAAGUCAGGUAAACCUUAUCACUUAGAGGAAGGAGAAGUCGUAACA
rnacentral:rRNA from 1 species